GGGGAAUAUUGCACAAUGGGCGCAAGCCUGAUGCAGCCAUGCCGCGUGUAUGAAGAAGGCCUUCGGGUUGUAAAGUACUUUCAGCGGGGAGGAAGGUGUUGUGGUUAAUAACCGCAGCAAUUGACGUUACCCGCAGAAGAAGCACCGGCUAACUCCGUGCCAGCAGCCGCGGUAAUACGGAGGGUGCAAGCGUUAAUCGGAAUUACUGGGCGUAAAGCGCACGCAGGCGGUCUGUUAAGUCAGAUGUGAAAUCCCCGGGCUCAACCUGGGAACUGCAUCUGAUACUGGCAGGCUUGAGUCUCGUAGAGGGGGGUGGAAUUCCAGGUGUAGCGGUGAAAUGCGUAGAGAUCUGGAGGAAUACCGGUGGCGAAGGCGGCCCCCUGGACGAAGACUGACGCUCAGGUGCGAAAGCGUGGGGAGCAAAC
rnacentral:rRNA from 1 species